rnacentral:rRNA from 1 species
UAACGCUGGCGGCGUGCCUAACACAUGCAAGUCGAACGCACUGGAGCAAUCCAGUGAGUGGCGGACGGGUGAGGAACACGUGGGUUAUCUACCUUGAGGUGAGGAAUACCGGCGAGAAAUCGCCGACAAUACCGCAUAGGUUUCGCAAGAAACAAAGCCCUGGCAACAGGGCGCCCCAAGAUGAGCCUGCGCCCGAUUAUGCUUCGUUGGUGGGGUAAAGGCCUACCAAGGCGACAAUCGGUAGCUGGUCUGAGAGGACGAUCAGCCACACUGGGAUUGAGAACGGCCCAGACUCCUACGGGGGGCAGCAGUGAGGAAUUUUCGUCAAUGGGGGCAACCCUGAACGAGCAACGCCGCGUGCAGGAAGAAGGUUUUCGGAUCGUAAACUGCUUUUCCUGGGGAAGAGAACGGACGGUACCCAGGGAAUAAGCCCCGGCUAACUACGUGCCAGCAGCCGCGGUAAUACGUAGGGGGCAAGCGUGGUCCGGAUUUAUUGGGCGUAAAGCGCACGCAGGCGGUCUUUUAAGUUUCGAGUGACAGGUGGUGGCUUAACUACCACAG